rnacentral:tRNA from 1 species
GUUAAAACGCAAAUAGCAUUUAAGUUUCGGCCUUAAACUUGGGUAAUGUCCCUUUUAAUA